UGGGGAAUAUUGCACAAUGGGCGCAAGCCUGAUGCAGCCAUGCCGCGUGUAUGAAGAAGGCCUUCGGGUUGUAAAGUACUUUCAGCGGGGAGGAAGGGAGUAAAGUUAAUAUCUUUGCUCAUCGACGUUACCCGCAGAAGAAGCACCGGCUAACUCCGUGCCAGCAGCCGCGGUAAUACGGAGGGUGCAAGCGUUAAUCGGAAUUACUGGGCGUAAAGCGCACGCAGGCGGUUUGUUAAGUCAGAUGUGAAAUCCUCGGGCUCAACCUGAGAACAGCAGCCGAAACUGGCAAGCUUGAGUCUCGUAGAGGGGGGUAGAAUUCCAGGUGUAGCGGUGAAAUGCGUAGAGAUCUGAAGGAAUACCGGUGGCGAAAGCGGCCCCCUGGGCGAAGACUGACGCUCAGGUGCGAAAGCGUGGGGAGCAAACAGG
rnacentral:rRNA from 1 species